rnacentral:rRNA from 1 species
AUUGAACGCUGGCGGCAUGCCUUACACAUGCAAGUCGAACGGCAGCGGGGGCUUCGGCCUGCCGGCGAGUGGCGAACGGGUGAGUAAUGCAUCGGAACGUGCCCAUGUCGUGGGGGAUAACGUAGCGAAAGCUACGCUAAUACCGCAUACGCCCUGAGGGGGAAAGUGGGGGACCGCAAGGCCUCACGCGAAUGGAGCGGCCGAUGUCAGAUUAGCUAGUUGGUGGGGUAAAGGCCCACCAAGGCGACGAUCUGUAGCGGGUCUGAGAGGAUGAUCCGCCACACUGGGACUGAGACACGGCCCAGACUCCUACGGGAGGCAGCAGUGGGGAAUUUUGGACAAUGGGCGCAAGCCUGAUCCAGCCAUGCCGCGUGCGGGACGAAGGCCUCGGUUGUAA